AAGGUCCACUUGCAGUGAAAUAAACCAGAGGUUUGAAUCAUGGCUUGAUACGAAAUUAUUGGAAAGAAUAUGGCGAUGACAUCCACAAUGCCGGAUAAAGAAAAUAUUUAGAAGAUGAGAUUCCUGUGUUUCUGGCUUUCAUACAAAAGCCUCGACUCAGGAACCUUCUGGGGGACUGGGAACCUUUGGGACCCUGAACUGGAACCGGAACUGGAGCUGGAGCUAGAGACAUAGCCACAGCCACAGCCUGGGCCUUGGUUUGACUGAGCCUUGGCCUUGGCUUCUGGCAAGCAGAGCCUGAGACCUCUGGAGACGCAGGCACAAGGAUGCCUUCCAAACUUGGGGUGGGCGAUAGUGCACACCUUCUACUUAUUAAAAAAAAAAACAAACUGUAAAACAGCAUCAUGCAGGUUCUUCAGGAGAGAUUCCAGAGGAAGGCAUUGUUGUGGUAGAAGAUGACAGUUCCACAGGUGUUACUAGCCAUGAAGAUCUUCCAGUGAGACAAGAUGUGGAGGUGGAAGACAGUGAUAUUGAUGAUUCUGAUCCUGUUGUUAUAAAUAAAGUUUCGGUUCCACAAAAGAAA
rnacentral:lncRNA from 1 species